GGGAGCCCGGGGGCCGGGGGUCAGAAGGUGCUGGGCACUCCGAUGUCUCUCUCCCUGUGGGCCUCCUGCAGGACACUGUUGUUCAGAGGCGGCCCGGAGGGGGCGGGCGGCAGACACAGAGCGCAGUCCCAGAGGUCGCCUGCUGGCCAGGGUGCUCAGGAGAGCGCCAAGCGGGGGCCAGCACGCCCAGCUUAAGGCGCCCCUGCCUACUCACUAUGGCCCUGGGCAAGCCCCUCCAUGCCCUCACUUUCCCAGCUAAGAGACUGGACCGAGGCCAGCUGGGAGCAGCAGCCCACAGUAUCCUGGGGUCCAUGAGGACCUGGGUUCAAGUUCUUUUGAAGCAAACCAUGAACAAAGCCAGCUGUGGAGGCCAGCCUCCAAGAAGGCCUCCAGUAAGCCCACCUCCUGGAAGCACGUCUGCUGGAGUCCCUCCCACAUUGUACCUCAGAAUAUGGCAGAAGCCACAGACAGCACCUCCAAGUAGGUUAUGAAAGACUCCCAUCUUUGUUGCUGUCUUAUCUCUGGGGGAAGCUGGCCGCCAUGUUCGGAGCAGCCCUGUGGGGAGGUCCGUGUGGGCCCCCACCCAAGGCCAGCCUUCAGACAACUGCAGUCCGGCCAGCCCCUUGGAGCCAUCUAAGGAUAGAUCCUGAGGCAGAACCACCCACUAAAGUGGUCCCAGAACCAUGAAACUGUGUGAGAUAAUAAAUGUUCAUUGUUUUAAGACA